AUUGAACGCUGGCGGCAUGCCUUACACAUGCAAGUCGAACGGUAACGGGCCUUCGGGUGCCGACGAGUGGCGAACGGGUGAGUAAUGUAUCGGAACGUACCUUUCAGUGGGGGAUAACGUAGCGAAAGUUACGCUAAUACCGCAUAUUCUGUGAGCAGGAAAGCAGGGGAUCGCAAGACCUUGCGCUGAUUGAGCGGCCGAUAUCAGAUUAGCUAGUUGGUGAGGUAAAGGCUCACCAAGGCGACGAUCUGUAGCGGGUCUGAGAGGAUGAUCCGCCACACUGGAACUGAGACACGGUCCAGACUCCUACGGGAGGCAGCAGUGGGGAAUUUUGGACAAUGGGCGAAAGCCUGAUCCAGCAACGCCGCGUGCGCGAUGAAGGCCUUCGGGUUGUAAAGCGCUUUUAGAGGAGAUGAGAAAGGACAGUAUCCUCUGAAUAAGCCUCGGCGAACUACGUGCCAGCAGCCGCGGUAAACGUAG
rnacentral:rRNA from 1 species